rnacentral:lncRNA from 1 species
CUGUCCCGGGGGACCGGGUUGCGGCAGCCGCGGUACAGGGCGAGACUGGGCAGGGGCUGGCGGCUUGGGGUUCGGCUGCAAGGAGACCCACAGCAGGUGGAAAGUUGGGAAGGGGAGCGGGCUGGGGCCGAGAGCGGCUCGGCAGGAAUUCUGGCCCUUGCUCCCUCCCCCAGGUCACCAGACUCUCUGGCUGUGUCUAGACUCCAGCCUCCAGCCGACGGUUUCUAAUAAAGCCACGUGCACGGAAGAUCUGAAAGCAGGGAGACCACCCGACGUUUCCUAGGGGUUGCAAGAUGCACAGUCCCCUGCGUAUUUGGGGGUGGCACAGCUGACAGUGGUUCCCGUCUUCCCCCCAACCCCACCCCCCUACUCCCCUCUCCUGGGCGUGGAUGGCUUUGGGAAGCGUCCACUCCAAGCGGCUCCAGCAACACUGAAUGGAUGUGUAGUAUGGUUAGCAGCUGGAGACGGAGCAAACGAUGCAAUGAAAAGAAGUCACAUUCACGGCGUAUUUGCUGGCAGGCACUGUGCGAAAUGCCUUGUAUGCAGCCUCUGUGAUUCUCUUCACGACUCGGUGAGAACUAUAAAGAUUCCUGUUGGAAAUGUGCAGCAUCACAUCACAAAAGAAAAAGAAACCAGAAAUAAAUGAAAACUCCGACAUGGUUCCUGAUUUUGUUUUCUGUAAUAGAUGUGAAACCAUGGCAAGGAUAAACAGUGAUUUGGCAUUCAGCAUCACCACUGCAUCAGGCAUUUCUAAGAACUGAAUUAAUGAAUGAAUAAACUCAUGUCAUAAAUAUAUUGUUUGUGGAUU